UAGUCCACGCCCUAAACGAUGAUAACUAGCCGUUGGCCCUUCGGGGCGAGUGGCGAAGCUAACGCGCUAAGUUAUCCGCCUGGGGAGUACGGCCGCAAGGUUAAAACUCAAAUGAAUUGACGGGGGCCCGCACAAGCGGUGGAGCAUGUGGUUUAAUUCGAUGCAACGCGAAGAACCUUACCAUCCUUUGACAUCCUCAGAAUCCUGUAGAGAUACGGGAGUACCGAAAGGAACUGAGUGACAGGUGCUGCAUGGCUGUCGUCAGCUCGUGUCGUGAGAUGUUCGGUUAAGUCCGGCAACGAGCGCAACCCACGUCCUUAGUUACCAGCAUUUAGUUGGGUACCCUAAGGAGACCGCCGGUGAUAAGCCGGAGGAAGGUGUGGAUGACGUCAAGUCCUCAUGGCCCUUACGGGUUGGGCUACACACGUGCUACAAUGGUAGUGACAAUGGGUUAAUCCCAAAAACUAUCUCAGUUCGGAUUGGGGUCUGCAACUCGACCCCAUGAAGUCGGAAUCGCUAGUAAUCGCGUAA
rnacentral:rRNA from 1 species